rnacentral:rRNA from 1 species
UGGGGAAUAUUGCACAAUGGGGGAAACCCUGAUGCAGCGACGCCGCGUGAGCGAAGAAGGCCUUCGGGUCGUAAAGCUCUUUUAUAUGGGAAGAUAAUGACGGUACCAUAAGAAAAAGCCCCGGCUAACUACGUGCCAGCAGCCGCGGUAAUACGUAGGUGGCAAGCGUUGUCCGGAAUUAUUGGGCGUAAAGCGCGCGCAGGUGGUUUAGAAAGUCUGAUGUGAAAGCCCACGGCUCAACUGUGGAGGGUCAUUGGAAACUAAUAAACUUGAGUGCAGGAGAGAAAAGUGGAAUUCCUAGUGUAGCGGUGAAAUGCGUAGAGAUUAGGAGGAACACCGGUGGCGAAAGCGGCUUUUUGGCCUGCAACUGACACUGAGGCGCGAAAGCGUGGGGAGCAAACAGG